rnacentral:pre_miRNA from 1 species
GGUGUACUCCUUCCGUUCCACAAUACAUACCUUCCAUUUAUCAAAAUAUAGAUAUAUUUAGACAUGCUUUAGUAUAUAGGUAUUUUUAUUUUUGAACAAAUGAAAGUCAAGUAUUUUGGAACGAAGGGAGUAGAAC